rnacentral:rRNA from 1 species
UACGGGGGGGGCAAGCGUUGUUCGGAAUUACUGGGCGUAAAGGGCUCGUAGGCGGCCAACUAAGUCAGACGUGAAAUCCCUCGGCUUAACCGGGGAACUGCGUCUGAUACUGGAUGGCUUGAGAUUGGGAGAGGGAUGCGGAAUUCCAGGUGUAGCGGUGAAAUGCGUAGAUAUCUGGAGGAACACCGGUGGCGAAGGCGGCAUCCUGGACCAACACUGACGCUGAGGCGCGAAAGCUAGGGGAGCGAACAGG